rnacentral:rRNA from 1 species
GACGAACGCUGGCGGCGUGCUUAAUACAUGCAAGUCGAACGGAGCCUAGCUGGUGGUUUACUACCGGCGAAAGCUUAGUGGCGGACGGGUGAGUAACGCGUGGGUAAUCUGCCCCUAAGUCCGGGAUAACAGAGCGAAAGUUCUGCUAAUACCGGAUACUCUUCCCGGGUCGCAUGGUCUGGGAAGGAAAGGUUUACUGCUUAGGGAUGAGCCCGCGUCCCAUUAGCUAGUUGGUGAGGUAAGGGCUCACCAAGGCCACGAUGGGUAGCCGGCUUGAGAGAGUGACCGGCCACACUGGAACUGAGACACGGUCCAGACUCCUACGGGAGGCAGCAGUGGGGAAUAUUGCACAAUGGGCGAAAGCCUGAUGCAGCGACGCCGCGUGAGCGAAGAAGGCCUUCGGGUCGUAAAGCUCUGUCCUAUGGGAAGAUAAUGACGGUACCAUAGGAGGAAGCCCCGGCUAACUACGUGCCAGCAGCCGCGGUAAUACGUAGGGGGCGAGCGUUGUC